rnacentral:rRNA from 1 species
AAUGAACGUUGGCGGCGUGGAUUAGGCAUGCAAGUCGAGCGAGAAGCUAUAAAUUGAUCCUUCGGGUGAUUUUUAUAGUGGACAGCGGCGAAAGGGAGAGUAACGCGUAGUUCACCUACCCAGGGGUUCGGAAUAGCGGCGGGAAACUGCCGGUAAUGCCGAAUGAUGUCUCCGGACCAAAGCUCCGGCGCCCUUGGACGGGACUGCGUGCCAUUAGCUUGUUGGUGGGGUAACGCCUACCAAGGCUGAGAUGGCUAGUGGGCGUGAGAGCGUGGCCCACCUCACUGGGACUGAGACACUGCCCAGACACCUACGGGUGCUGCAGUCGAGAAUCUUCGGCAAUGGACGCAAGUCUGACCGAGCGACGCCGCGUGCGGGAUGAAGGUCUUCGGAUU